rnacentral:misc_RNA from 1 species
CAGAGUUCUUUGCAACUCCCAACCCUGUGAACCGUACCAAUUUUCGUUGUUGCUUCUGGCAGGCGGGGGCCCCAGGCCCCCCUGCCAGCGGCAGCCUGCUCCCACCUUCUUUUUGUAUCUUACCGUCUGAGCUUUUAAAAAAAUACAUCA